rnacentral:tRNA from 1 species
UCACUCUGGGCCGAGUGGAUAACGCGAUGGCCUUUGAAGCGAAAGGUACUGGGUUCGAAUCCCAGAGUGAA